GACGAACGCUGGCGGCGUGCUUAACGCAUGCAAGUCGAACGGAAAGGCCCCUUCGGGGGUACUCGAGUGGCGAACGGGUGAGUAACACGUGAGUAACCUGCCCUUGACUUCGGGAUAACUUCAGGAAACUGGGGCUAAUACCGGAUAGGAAUCCUUGCUGCAUGGUGGGGGUUGGAAAGCUUCGGCGGUUUUGGAUGGACUCGCGGCUUAUCAGCUUGUUGGUGGGGUAGUGGCUUACCAAGGCUUUGACGGGUAGCCGGCCUGAGAGGGCGACCGGCCACAUUGGGACUGAGAUACGGCCCAGACUCCUACGGGAGGCAGCAGUGGGGAAUAUUGCACAAUGGGCGGAAGCCUGAUGCAGCAACGCCGCGUGCGGGAUGACGGCCUUCGGGUUGUAAACCGCUUUCAGCAGGGGCGAAGCUUGUGGUGACGGUACCUGCAGAAGAAGCACCGGCUAACUACGUG
rnacentral:rRNA from 1 species